rnacentral:rRNA from 1 species
GCCACCCGCCGCGGUAAUACGUAGGGUGCGAGCGUUGUCCGGAAUUAUUGGGCGUAAAGAGCUCGUAGGCGGUCUGUCGCGUCGGCUGUGAAAACUCGGGGCUCAACCCUGAGCUUGCAGUCGAUACGGGCAGGCUAGAGUUCGGCAGGGGAGACUGGAAUUCCUGGUGUAGCGGUGAAAUGCACAGAUAUCAGGAGGAACACCGGUGGCGAAGGCGGGUCUCUGGGCCGAUACUGACGCUGAGGAGCGAAAGCGUGGGGAGCGAACAGGAUUACAUACCCUGGUAGUCCACGCCGUAAACGUUGGGCGCUAGGUGUGGGAUCCCUUCCACGGGUUCCGUGCCGCACCUAACGCAUUAACCGCCCCGCCUGGGGAGUACGGCCGCAAGGCUAAAACUCAAAGGAAUUGACGG